UUUCUGUCUCUCUCUCACCUAGGUGACUGUGUGAGUUUGGGGAAACAGAACCUUUAAGGGUGGGAAUGAAACUAUGAGCCCUCUGAUCAGAAGGGAUGGGAGGAACAAACAGCUGUAAUUUGGGUAUUCACCUUUUGGUUAUAUAGGUACCAGGCCUGUCCACAUGGCAAGACAUGGACUAGGACAGGUCAUAUGUAACUGAUUAAUUUGGACACUUAUAAAGAGUAGCAUAUGGUUUCAGUGAUUCAGUUUUAGAGAUUGUGAUCCUUGAUGUUAAAGGGAGGCAGAAGGAAGUUCUCUAACAUUAGGCUUCAACUGUAAAAAGCAGUUCUUUAUAAUACAGAUGCCUUACUUUAGGAAAUAAGACACAGAGCUUUCCCUCACAACAAUCACAUCACCACAAGCUCUAGUCCUCAUCCUUUUAUAUGAGGCUUUCAAGUGUGCCCCUUGAGUAGUUGGCCCUCUAUGGCUGGAAAAGAAACAGGUGCUUUCCUAGCACAGCCAGUUUAGGACUGAUUGGAUUAAAGGAAGCUUUCUCUUGCAGCUGUGAAGAGUUUCCAUCCUCUUAUGUUUUUGGCUUCACCUGCUAUCUGAGGAGAUGGUGCAAACAUGCUAAUACAUACUCUACUCAGAUGAAUUGCUUCACCUAGUACUGAUGUGCAGGUGAAACAUGUCAGCUGUUUAACUGUGUUCUGCAAGAAGUGGAGAAAAGUUUGCAUGUCCAUUACACCGUGCAAAGAAACAGUAAGAACCCAGAAUUGAAUUUGGUUAGGAAUGGAGAGGUUUUUUUUAUAGAUGGAAUGUAAGCAAGCAAAACAACGUUAUGAUAUCUAAACGAUUGAUGAAAACCCCUGAAAGAAAAAGGAGAUUGGAUUUAUCCUUCAUGGAAAGAUAUGUUCAAGGUGAGCAUACUGUGAAUUGAAGGCAGUGUGGAGACAGAGUAGGAAUGGCGCACAAAGAAGGUAUCAAGGUUUUGCUCUGCCAACACCACACUGUCUCUGGGAAGAGGUCACCACCAUGCUGCUCCGAGAGGGUGCUUCCCCAAACACAUAAGUGACCGAUCAGCUGCCUACCUCUCUGGUGGUUUUUACCAUUGUCUCUCCUGUUGUGUAGGCUCUUCUAGUCCUCCGGUGUAUCCUUGCUGAAGGUCCUCUCAAUACUGGCUCUGUUGCAUUCCAUUGUCUGUGCCCUGCCGAAGGAUGAACUCCCGGCAAAUCUGCCUUUUAUCCAUGGCCUGGUUCUCAGGCAGCAAUUGAGUUUAACCCACUUCUGGUGUUUCAUUGUUUUGGCGUUUCCCAGGUGUUCGCUAUUGGUGGACUUCCCUUUAGUAACAGGUAUGCCUAGCUCCCUAUUACAGUUAGAUAUACACCUGCAUCUUUAAAAUACCAUCUGUUGUAUGGGAGUUUCAUACUUUGGAGGAUAAAACUGAUUGACUUGAAAUUUGAAUUCCUGAUUCAGAAACAAGUGGAGGCUUCUUUUGCACAGGAUAGAUAGAAUUUCAAAGAUCUAGAAUUGGACUGCGCAAACUUGAAUUCCAUCUUUCUGUUCCCUGCAAUGUUCUAAUGUGUCUAUGUGGAGUUACAGCAGGAUGUGUCAUUCUUAAUAUGAGGCACAAGCUAAGCAUGAACUACUCUAUGGUGCUUGGGUUACAGAAAAGCCUUUAAAAUAAUUAUUGCUUGAGAUACUGGCUCCAUGGAAAAUGAAUGACAGAUAGUCAAAGGUUGUCAAAAUCUUUACAUCAAUCUUGCUAAUAUCCAACACACACACAUCUAUCCAGGUGAAAUUUCUACUGAAACCAUGGAUAGUUUAUUUGAGUGUAAGCCAUGGAAGAGAAACCUUCAUAACAUUUUAGACUUGCAUAGGAAGUUGGGGAGAGAUUCUACCUCUUUUGUUUCUCAAAAUUUGAUCAGGACAGAGCAAAAAAAUGGAGUAGAAAACAUGAAGGAAUCAGAUCUUGCAUUUUAAAGUAGAAAGUCAUUUUGUCUGGAUCUCUU